rnacentral:lncRNA from 1 species
GGAACCAACCAUAACUUCCCAAACUGAGACAGCUCAAGGGGGAGAGGCUAGAAGCUGCUGUAAAGGGUCAUUGUUUAGUGGCCUUCAAAAUGCAAUAGGAGAGACUAUCCCAAGAGUGGUGAUAGAGAAGAUCAACUCCAAGAAGAAAACAAGUUUUUUCCAACUUGGGCAUCAACUUAAGUUUAAAUACUGCUCUAGAGCAGGUCCA